UAAGACGACCACGUAAAGUUUUCAUCUAAAAAUAAAGUAACUGAUAUAUAUUCGUAUAUAGUACGUGGCAUUUUUAUUCAAAAUACUUUCCAGUUAGUAAUUAGACAAUCAUAAUUUCAAUUUAACCGUUUAAAUUUUAAAACUUUCUUAAAUAAAAAAAAUUUUCAAUAAUUAAAAAAUGAUAACAGUUAACUCAUUAAUAGCAGCGACAUUGGUAUAUUUCUUAAUACAAUUAUUAGGAGUCUCUCCAGAUUCUGGAAUUUCAGAAUGGGUGGACAGUGAUGAUGAAGUUUCGUGUCGUCGUUAUUUAUUUCAACAAGGUAAGUUAUUUCUUUAUAAUAUCUAUUUCUUUUCUUUUUUAUUUAAUUUGAUGGUAUUCUAAAAUGAUUGAACUACAAAAUAUGUAUUUAAAUGAAUUUAAACACUGUUAACUGUUAAUUU